UACCAGCACCCCGAGUGGUCGGGACGAUUAUUGGGCCUAAAGCAUCCGUAGCCGGUUUUACAAGUCCUCCGUUAAAUCCAGCUGCUUAACAGAUGGGCUGCGGAGGAUACUAUAAGACUAGGAGGCAGGAGAGGCAAGCGGUACUCAGUGGGUAGGGGGUAAAAAUCCGUUGAUCCAUUGAAGACCACCAGUGGCGAAGGCGGCUUGCCAGAAUGCGCUCGACGGUGAGGGAUGAAAGCUGGGGGGAGCAAACCGG
rnacentral:rRNA from 1 species